GCGGUAGUGGUGGAACGGCAGACACGCUAUCUUGAGGGGGUAGUGUCCAAUGGACGUGCAGGUUCAAAUCCUGUCUACCGCACCA
rnacentral:tRNA from 10 species